rnacentral:lncRNA from 1 species
UGAAUAAUGAUGCCUGAUGGAUAUCUGGUGGAUCAAGUGGUCCUUAUUUUGUGAGUGGGGAAACUGGGCUUAGAGAGGUAGAAAGGCUUCACCAAUGAAGCUGUGAAGCAUGAGGACAAGGAGGAGAACUCAAGGUCUGCUACACCAAGGCUCUUGACACCACAGCUUUCCCAGACGUGACUCUUGCCUCCUUUGGGCACUGCUCCUUGGGUGAGCCAUCUCCUCUCAGGCAGUAACCAUCCCCAACCCAUGGCAAUAAUCAGAUGAGGUGGAAGGGAGAGAAUCAUGGCCAGUUUCUUGGUGCUUUCUGCUUUCCUGUGACUCCGAGCCCCUGUCAGCCAUCUCUGUGCCCGUGAUGUGCCCUGGACACAGGCUGAGCGGGCCAGGAGGAGCCCAGGGGCAAGGGUGCUCUGUGGAGUUUGGCCUCCCUGUCAGAACUCCAAGCACCAGAAAAGGCGAGCAGUUUGGUUUCCAUGGCAACCUGCCCACCGGAUCCCUGCAGCUGCAGCCCCUCACAGGCCCCUGAGGCGGGGGGCUGCGGGUGGCCUAAGCCAGCCCUGUGCCCACGUCGGCCCCCGCUGGGUUCAGGCCCUAGGCAGGCUGCUCAUUCUAAGCUGGAGCUUUGCCUGACAUGGUUCCCAUGGGGACGGCUGUGGGCACACGCUGCCUGUGGUCAGAUCCCCAGCUCCCAACUGCCCUGCAAUUCAGGCAGCUCCUCCCAGGCUCAGAGCUUUUGGAAGAAACAGAACCAGGAGACAGAAGAUCUGCCUAUCAGCCGACAGAUGUCUCACCCUCCUACCAUCACAGUAAGAGAAAAAAAUAGGUAGAAGAAAAGACGCUGAAAUCGGCAAUGGCGGUGAAGUCUGAAGGCGCCAUCCUGAGACAAUAGCACUUCAUUUUACGGAGCGCUGUUCAGAGGAAAAUUCAUGGCCUGUUGUGGACUCAGGAGAAGUUGGAUGAAGAGAUUUUUAUAAGAAAGGAAAACAUUUGGGAUCCCAAACCUCUUAGCCCUUGGCUGGAGGAAAAACUCAGAGAUGGGCUGGAAGAGGCAGGGUGUGCUCAAAGAGCUAUGCCGUGCCCAGGAGAAUCGGGAGCUCGGAAUACAGCUUAAUCUAAAUGGACAAAGGAAAUACACAAUGGAUGUUAAUGGAUGUUUCAAUCCAAGAUGAAAUAUGAGUCCAAGGAGCGUUUCAACAUAAUAUAUACUUAAUUGAAAUGAACUACAUAUCUUAAAUCAAAAAUGAUGUUAGCAAUUCCAUGCAGAGUGAGAAUUGC